AACGAUUUUAUCGUGAAACCGCGAACGGCUCAUUAAACCAGCUAUAAUCUACUUGAUCUUGACAUAUAUCUACUUGGAUAACUGUGGUAAUUCUAGAGCUAAUACAUGCACAAAUUCUCUGACCUUGCGGGAAGAGCGCAUUUAUUAGAGCAAAACCAGGCGGCUUCGGUCGUUUUUGCUGACUCAGAAUAACUCAGCUGAUCGCACGGUCCUUGUACCGGCGACGUGUCUUUUGAGUAUCUGCCUUAUCAAUUUUCGAUGGUAGUGUAUCUGACUACCAUGGUUUUGACGGGUAACGGAGAAUCAGGGUUCGACUCCGGAGAAGGGGCCUGAGAAAUGGCCACUACGUCUAAGGAUGGCAGCAGGCGCGCAAAUUACCCACUCUCGGAAUGAGGAGGUAGUGACGAGAAAUAACGAGACCGUUCUCUUUGAGGCCGGUUAUCGGAAUGGGUACAAUUUAAACCCCUUAAACGAGUAUCUAUGAGAGGGCAAGGUCUGGUGCCACCAGCCGCGGGUAAUUCCCGCCUCUCAAAAUGCAUAAGACCCAUGGGCUGCGGUUAAAAAGCUCGUAGUUGAAUCUAUGCCUGAGGCUUGGUCCACUCUUUGAGUGCGUACUAGGUUCUUUGGCUUUUCGUCGGUUUUCUUGUCGUGGCCUUUAUUGGUGGCGGCAAGUGGCUGACAAUUUUACUUUGAACAAAUCAGAGUGCUUAAAACCGGCGUCUCGCUUGUAUGCUUUUGCAUAGAAUAAUGGAACACGACUUCGGUCUAGUUUUAUUGGUUUUAUAGAUCGUUGUAAUGAUUAAAAGAGACAAACGGGGGCAUUCGUAUUGUUGCGUGAGAGGUGAAAUUCUUGCGACCGCAGCAAGACGACCUACAGCGAAAGCAUUUGCCAAGCUUGUCUUCAUUAAUCAAGAACGAAAGUCAGAGGAUCGAAGGUGAUCAGAUACCGCCCUAGUUCUGACCGUAAACGAUGCCAACUAGCGAUUCGCCGGCGGAUUAUUUGCCCUGGCGAGGAGCUUCCCGGAAACGAAAGUCUUCCGGUUCCGGGGGAAGUAUGGUUGCAAAGCUGAAACUUAAAGGAAUUGACGGAAGGGCACCACCAGGAGUGGAGCCUGCGGCUUAAUUUGACUCAACACGGGAAAACUCACCCGGCCCGGACACUAUAAGGAUUGACAGAUUGAUAGCUCUUUCAUGAUUUGGUGGAUGGUGGUGCAUGGCCGUUCUUAGUUCGUGGAGUGAUUUGUCUGGUUUAUUCCGAUAACGAGCGAGACUCUAGCCUACUAAAUAGUCUGCUCAUUGCUAUUGUGUGGCAGUACUUCCUAGAGGAAUUUUCGGUGUUUAACCGCAUGAAAUUGAGCAAUAACAGGUCUGUGAUGCCCUUAGAUGUCCGGGGCUGCACGCGCGCUACACUGGUAAAGUCAGCGUGCGUCUCCUUUCUCGAAAGAGAUUGGUAAACCAGUGAACGUUUGCCGUGAUAGGGAUAGGAAAUUGCAAUUAUUUUCUGUGAACGAGGAAUUCCAAGUAAAUGUGAGUCAUCAACUCGCGUUGAUUACGUCCCUGCCCUUUGUACACACCGCCCGUCGCUGCCCGGGACUGAGCCAUUUCGAGAAAAUUGGGGAUUGCUGACUGACGGUUCUUCGGGAUUGUCUUUUGGUGAAAACCAGCUUAAUCGUAGUGGCUUGAACCGGGC
rnacentral:rRNA from 1 species